rnacentral:lncRNA from 1 species
AAAUCUAUAUAAAAAUAAAUUUUAUUCCCACGAUCGAACAUUUAUUUAAUAUAUUACAAAUAGCAUGUAUAUGGCAAACAGUUUAAAGGCAAGAACUUAAUUUCAUUUCUUAUAUCACGAAACAAACACAACAGUCACUUCAGAUAUAACCAACUAGCAUGCAUUCGAUCAUUGCAUAUAAGCCAAACUACUAGUGGCAGUAAUACAUCUUAAGGCACUGCCUAUCACCAGCGUUAUAAUUCUUUUCGCCUUGACAGUUGAUGAAACAAUGUUUUUCGCACAAGCUGGUUCACUUUUCUUGAGAGCAUCAUAAGAUAUUUUGUUUGUGUCGGCAAGAAUCCGUCGAUGUUCUUCGUUGUCCAUGAGAAACUCUUCAGCUUCUUCCACUAGCGUUGGGCACAGCGCCAGAGCCAGAUCCUUCACAAUGAUUGAUCAUCAUGAGGAUGAUUGAUAGUAAUAAGAUGACACAAGUCAAGAUGGUGUUUCUUGAUCUAUGAUCACUUGCCAUUUGUCUCUUCUUUUCUUUUAUGGAUGAAAUUGUGU